ensembl:lncRNA
UUUUGUAGUACUGCUUUUAAUGAAACUUGCUUACCUUUUGAGUCUAUGCAUUUAUUUGUUCUUACUAAAAAGCAAGUUAUUUCAUUUGGCAGGAUAUACGCACUCACAAUUUUUUGCUCAAAAGACAUAUUACAACAACAUGGUUUAAAUCAAGAUCAACCUAAGCAGAACAAUAAAAGAAAAAAUGUGGCCUUUAACAUGGUUUUCAAAUAUUUAUUAAAACAACAUACGAUCGUUUUUUUCAUCGUGAUUCUGCCUGCAGUAUCUGUAACCUAGUAGCCAUAUUACCCCAAAUUGACAACUAAAUAACAAUGAGUCUAAAAACCCAAACAGUCCUCCCCCUCCUUCCCACUAGGCACUUUUGCUAUUGUCUAGGAACACAAAUAAUUUUGUUAACAGCUUAGCUAGCAAAAGUACAAAGGCACCAACAAGAAAUGUCACUGUGCUGGCACAGACAAAACCUUUUUGUCUGCUUUAGAAACAUGCUCUAGGAAACCUGGCUCUCAUAUUUGGGAUCUGAAACUACAAUCACUGCUAGGGCUCCUUCUUCUUACUACAAAGACGUGCAUCAACAUUCUUGUGAUCUGACAUCAGCCUUUUUGGCUGGCUCUUGGGGUUGUGAUAGCUUAAAGUCACAGAUAAGCAAGCCUGGAAGAGUACAAAUCCUGCCAGAAUAGUUUCCACCUUUCAGAACACAAACGGAAAUAAUGACAGCUUUAAGUUAUGUAAGAAAACAACGUUUAACGUGCAUAGGGUACAUACCAUUACAACAGGUUAAGAAAGUUAAUAGAUAGGCAGAGGUUUCACCCCGAAGGAGAGUACAAAAGCAAUUUAAGCAUCUGUUACAUGAGUCUGGGAGCGGCAGGAGAGCACCUUGCCUUAUCCACAUUUGCAGCAGGUGAGCUGCAAUAGAACGAGUGAUACAUAAACCAACGACGGGGAAUUGGAGACGAGAAAGCUCACUUUGCUUUGUAACCAAAGAUGAACGACAUAACAAAAGCGAUUUUUUUAAAUAUGGGAUAUUAACUUAAACAUACCUCUACCCUCCUGGUCUAUAGAAACGCGCUAUUUGUUUAGGCAGUCAAACAUAAUAAAUAAGUUUUUUUCCGGGCGCGGCGGUGCUCCUGACAGGCAGAGCUCAGUCCGGGGGGCUGGAAGCCGGCUCGGGGUCCGUCUCAGGCGCGGAGAUAGUCGUGCUUGAGGCGGCUCAGGCGUGCGCCGUGGCUGCGGACGGUGAGGGCGAGGAGGUCGUGCUUGUCCCGCAGCCCGCUGGAGAUGUGUCGGGUCUCCCGGAGCAGGGCGCGGGCGUGCAGCAGCAGCCCCAGGAAGCUGUCGCCCAGGCGAGCCUCCUCCCGAGCCCCCUGCUCCUGGCCCUGACGGAACUUGCCCUCCAGCUCGCUUAGCGACCGGUCCGAGCUGGAGUAGGCGUCGCUGAUCUGGGCGGACUCUCGGCGCAGGUAGGUGCUGUAGCUCUCCUCACCGUCCAGGUCGUAGGAGAUGCUCUUGCCGAUGCCCUCCAGCACCCGGCCCGCGUCCUCCACCUGCCGGCCCAACACCGUCAGCUCCUCCCGCAGGCUGAGCCCGCCGCCCGCCGUCGCCGUGCCGCACCGCCGCUGCUCGCUCACUCUGAACAGCAACUGGCACCGCUCGGGGUCGUCGUUUUCCUCGUAGUCCCCAUCGGGGACGAAGUAGUGGUGCAGGGUCCCAUUGGACAUCUCGGGGUACAGCGGGCCCUCGAAGUACCCGCGGCAGAAGCUGCACAGGCACCACAGCCACAGCAGGCGCAGCGCUGCCGGCAUGCUGUGGCCGGCGCCGGGCAGCCUAGGGCCGUGCCCCGCCACGCUGUCCCCAGCUGACACCCAUGGGGGGGUCCACUGGCCCCGCCGCUGCCGCCGCGCGAGCACCGGGGCUCCGCGGCAGCCGAGCUGGGUCGGGUCCGAGUGGCUGGCGGGCGGGCGGGCGGCUGGCAGCUCAGAAGCCUGGCGGCGCUCUGGGGCCGGGAGCAGGCGCACCGCCUUUAAAAGCCCGGCAGAAGGCGCGGAAAGGAAGCGUCCCCAGCGCCGGGCAGGGCCGGGCCGCUCCCCUCCCCAGC